UCCCCAGUAGCUCAGUUGGUUAGAGCGGUGGACUGUUAAUCCAUGUGUCGUAGGUUCGAAUCCUACCUGGGGAGCCA
rnacentral:tRNA from 2 species